rnacentral:lncRNA from 1 species
GUGCUUUCAAAAAGUGCAAUCUCUGAUACCGUUGACAGCGACGACGAUUUUAUUGAUCCACCUCCAAAGAGCAGUGUAAUAUUUCGAAGGAAGAGAACUAUGCAGCAUGAACCCCGAUUGAUUAGGAUAUAUAUUAGCUGUGAUAGUGAUGAUGAUUUUGUUGAUCCUCUACCUACAAUUGUGUGUAUUAGACAAUAAGCUCCGCUAUUGAUAUUAUGUACAUAUAACUCUGGCAGUUAAAAUUUUUUAAUUAUUUGAUGUUGUCUGUCAUAUUAAUGAAUAAUAUUUGUACUUACUAUGUGUCGUAAUAUUGUGUCGAUUUGUACACAUUUCUUAUUGUUAUAAUAUUGUAAGUUAGAUGGAUUUGAGCUUUACAACUUCGAACAGUCGAAGCAACCGAACCACACCUCUCAGCCACUGUGGAUUGUCUUGUACGAUUAAGACCUUUUGGACAUAAAACAAUCCGGGACGGAGAUUUUAUGGCUGUCCAAGAUAUAGGGUAAAGCUGGAUACUAAAACCUUUUUGAUUCAUAUAUAGACAUUAUUUGAUGUGUAAUUUAUAUUAUCUUUCAGUUGCAGGCGGAUAACGCAUGUAAUUAUUUUGGUUGGUACGACUCAUAAUUUACGAGCCGGAGUAUCUCAGUGGUUAAUGAUUUAUUAGAAAGCAAUAAUAAGUUGCGGGAUGAAGCCGCAGCUGCUGCAAAGAGAAAAAGAUGGGGGUG